rnacentral:rRNA from 1 species
AUUGAACGCUGGCGGAAUGCUUUACACAUGCAAGUCGAACGGCAGCACGGACUUCGGUCUGGUGGCGAGUGGCGAACGGGUGAGUAAUGUAUCGGAACGUGCCCAGUCGUGGGGGAUAACGUAGUGAAAAUUACGCUAAUACCGCAUACGAUCUAUGGAUGAAAGCGGGGGAUCGCAAGACCUCGCGCGAUUGGAGCGGCCGAUAUCAGAUUAGGUAGUUGGUGGGGUAAAGGCCCACCAAGCCAACGAUCUGUAGCUGGUCUGAGAGGACGACCAGCCACACUGGAACUGAGACACGGUCCAGACUCCUACGGGAGGCAGCAGUGGGGAAUUUUGGACAAUGGGCGAAAGCCUGAUCCAGCCAUUCCGCGUGCAGGAUGGAGGCCCUCGGGUUGUAAACUGCUUUUGUACAGAACGAAAAGGCUCUGGUUAAUACCUGGGGCUCAUGACGGUACCGUAAGAAUAAGCACCGGCUAACUACGUGCCAGCCGCCGCAGUAA